rnacentral:rRNA from 1 species
ACUGUGCUAAGGUAGCAAAAUCAUUUGACUGAUAAUUGCUUUCUGGAAUGAAAGGGCUUACAAGAAUAAAUCUUUCUUCUCUUUUAGAAACAAUUUUCAAAUUUAAGUAAAAAUGCUUUAUAAUCUUAGAAAGACGACAAGACCCUAGAACCUAAAAAUAAUUAUUUACUGGGGCGGUAAUUUUAACCCAAAAAUUAAUUCAACAUUAUGUAUGAUUAACUUUAAACCUAAUGAAUAAAUAAUAUAUUCCUAUUAGCUAAAAUAAGGUACUCUAGGGAUAACAGCAUAAUUUUUUUUUGGAGCCCUGAUCGACAAAAAAGAUUUUGACCUCGAUGUUGAAUUAUAAUUCCUUAAUAAAGCAGCCUUUAUUUAAGGGGGUCUGUUCGACCUUUAUUUUUAUACGUGAUCUGAG